GGGCGAUUGGUCUAGUGGUAUGAUUGUGAGUGUGACCGUGACUGCAAGAGGCCCCGUGUUCGAUCCACGGAUCGCCCC
rnacentral:tRNA from 1 species